UCAGCUCCAGAGACGGCAGGCGGGACGAGUCAACGGAGGCCGGAUGGACGAAGGCAUGAAGCUGAGUACAAUCCAGAAAACAACAGAGGAGGAGUGCAGCAGCCCAGGACCAGGACAACCAGAGUAGCAUGACUAAAGAACUACAGACUCUUCACAACCUGCUCAAACUCUUGGUACAGGACCUCACUACACGGGUCAAGAAGGUUUCCUUCUCAUUUCUACUCUGAAGCUCACCUUCUCCUGCUCAAACUGCUGACAAAUGUUUCUGCUGCUCUAAAGUCUGGUCUCCAGAACUUCCUAAAAACUCUCAAAGUCUCUUCUGCUGCAGGUUGCUUUGUAGAACUGUUCCAGAAAACCUCACUAAACCACAUGGAGGGGCCUCAAGAUAGUCGUCCAAAUGAAACCAUACAAAAACCAAACUAGCACAACCCAAACGCUAAAGUCUCCUGCAGCCUACCAGAGAACCUCUGAGAACAGAGAAUCAGGACAGGAACUCUUACCUUCUGGACAACCAACGUUGGUUCACAAACAAGAAUACAGAAUGUGUCUGACCAAAAACCUCUGAAGACUCACUACAGCCAAGAUAAAGACACAACUCAGCUGUACCAAAUCCACUAAUCACUGCACACAUUAGUACCAUGUGCUAACUGUGGCUAAAGAACCACAUUUACCAAGAUAACUAUCCAGUACAAAGCCCUAAAACACACCAAGAAACACAUUAAAGACAAUUUUACUGCUGGAAGCUGCAAGCCAACGCCUAAAGAACAAACUGAAGCAAUGGAGCCAAACCCGGUUCACUGGUGAACAGAAGCAGAGGAAAUGUUUGUCUGCAGCUAAAUAAAGCAGGAAGACACUGAGCUGCUCAGGUGUUCCUGAUAACACCAAGCAGCCACCUGGACAGCCAAUAGGAACACAGCCACCUGGACAGCCAAUAGGAACACAGCUUACUGGAAGUCCAGAGGACUGGGUUAGUCAAGGAAAUUUAGUUUAAAGUUGAAGCAGAAAGUUAACAAAGAAAGUUGAAAACCACCUUCUGAUCCCUGAAAUCUCUGAGUUUUCACACAAAGAACACCUGAACAUGUCAAACUGGUUCCAUAGUAGAACCAUCAUUGUAAAAACAUCAUAGUAAGGUGUGUUGCUCCAAAAACAUUAGGACCCGGCUGUCUAGGGUCGCCAAGGAGCAACACAAAAACAGGACAAACGCUGGUUUCCAGGGGGUUAGGAGGCUAUUUAUUUGAAAGAGGAAGUUUACAACAACACAACAUGUGAGCAGAAAAAUCACAAAGUCUGUCUUUAGUUCAGCUGAAAAUAUUAGUUUUUGUCUUUUUUAUUGACCAAACUUUUCAGGAAGUAGAUGAAGAAUAAUUAAAGCUCUCAUGUAGAAGUCCAACUUAUUUUGGAUCCUUGUGGAGAGUUUAAUCUUAGAGUUUGUAAAGCUGUUGAGUUUUUAGAGUCACAUGGAUUGUUUUGACAUUUAAUAACGGAGUCCUGAAAUAAAAUUACAGUUGUGGA